rnacentral:rRNA from 1 species
GACUGUGCUAAGGUAGCAUAAUAAGUUGACUUUUAAUUGGAGUCGAGUAUGAACGGGAUUACGGGUAGGCCCUGUCUCAUGAGAAAUUUCUUGAAAUUUCUAAAGAGGUGAAAAUUCCUCUGCAUAUAUGAUAGACGAGAAGACCCUUAGAGUUUUUAGAAACAAGUAAUUAUUUACUUUCCCUUUUUGUUGGGGCGACAUAUAAGCAAUACAUCAAACCUUAUAUGUAAUUGACUCUUCUUUACAGGCAGAUGAUUUAUGAAAGAUUAAAACUACCUAAGGGAUAACAGCAUAAUUUAUAUUUAAGAUUGUGACCUCGAUGUUGGACUAGGA